rnacentral:rRNA from 1 species
AUUGAACGCUGGCGGCGUGCCUAACACAUGCAAGUCGCACGCGAAAGGGAGCAAUCCCGAGUAGAGUGGCGGACGGGUGAGUAACGCGUAGGAAUCUACCUCGUAGUGGGGGACAACCCGGCGAAAGCCGGGCUAAUACCGCAUACGACCUGAGGGUGAAAGCAGGGGAUCGCAAGACCUUGCGCUAUGAGAUGAGCCUGCGUCCGAUUAGCUAGUUGAUGAGGUAACGGCUCGCCAAGGCGACGAUCGGUAACUGGUUUGAGAGAACGACCAGUCACACUGGGACUGAGACACGGCCCAGACUCCUACGGGAGGCAGCAGUGGGGAAUCUUGGACAAUGGGGGCAACCCUGAUCCAGCGACGCCGCGUGUGUGAAGAAGGCCUUCGGGUUGUAAAGCACUUUCGGCAGGGACAAACAAGACGGAGCUAACAUCUCCGUUCCUGAUGGUACCUGAAGAAGAAGCACCGGCUAACUCUGUGCCAGCAGCCGCCGUAAUAC